rnacentral:rRNA from 1 species
UGCGAACGCUGGCGGCAGGCCUAACACAUGCAAGUCGAACGGAUCCUUCGGGAUUAGUGGCGGACGGGUGAGUAACACGUGGGAACGUGCCCUUUGGUUCGGAACAACUCAGGGAAACUUGAGCUAAUACCGGAUGUGCCCUUCGGGGGAAAGAUUUAUCGCCAUUGGAGCGGCCCGCGUCUGAUUAGCUAGUUGGUGAGGUAACGGCCCACCAAGGCGACGAUCAGUAGCUGGUCUGAGAGGAUGAUCAGCCACACUGGGACUGAGACACGGCCCAGACUCCUACGGGAGGCAGCAGUGGGGAAUCUUGCGCAAUGGGCGAAAGCCUGACGCAGCCAUGCCGCGUGAAUGAUGAAGGUCUUAGGAUUGUAAAAUUCUUUCAGCGGGGACGAUAAUGACGGUACCCGCAGAAGAAGCUCCGGCUAACUUCGUG